GAUGACCAGUAUGAGCCGUACAUCGCUCCGCCUCGCCCUGCAGCUGAUGAGGCUUACGGUUGCAGGUGGAUGGUCCCCAGACUCACACAGGCACAUACGGCGACGGGUCUCCCAUACUACCGAGACGCCCUUGAUCGACUCACUGAGGAUCAGGUACAAACUCUGAAGACAUUUGUAAUCAUUUAGGUACUGUGUAUACUGAUUGUGGACUAACUUAUUUAGGAUGUGUUAUUGCAGAUCACAUGGGAUCCGUAUGUACCGGAGUUGGUAGAUGUCAUGCCUGCACAUCUACUGGAGCAUCAGGGAGAGUGGCGUGCCCGGGUCCCCCUGAUCUGUUUUGAGGUUGUGGAGAGUCACCUACCUGACCGCGUCAUGCGACAGUUCGGACUGCAGCAGCUUAUUCCCCAGAACUGUGACACUGUCGUGCGCCUUCACGACAUUGACCGUCGGGGAAAGACGGAGACAAACUGGGCACUGGAGCAUUGGCAGUAUCUUCAGCUAUGGGAGCAGCGGUUGGGUCAUGUCGUUCAGGGUUAUCCCAUGCAGGGCGUUAUGGAUCAUGACGAUCCGUACAUGGUGUGAUACAGGCUUAUCACACGCCGUUUCAUCAACCCCGGCUACACACCACCGUCCACCCAUUACCACCCGGCACAUGACGUCAUUAGCGGAUAUGCGGCGGAUAUGGUGGCGAUGUAUGAUGCACUGUCCCUCGCCCUUACAGACGGACCCACCAGAGCCCAGGUCCAGCGGAUGCGAGAUAUGUCCGCGACUUCCUUACGCAGACAUGGUCACGGUCAUCUCAUCCAACAGCGGGACGGUGAUGAUGGUCACUCCAUCCAUUCGCGGUUCGACCCCGGCCAGAGUAGCAGUGGAGGUGAUCCUACGUCGCACAUAGAGGCAGAGGAGUACAUCUUCCACAGUUCUGCACCCUUCAGAACCCAGGAGGACGCA